rnacentral:rRNA from 1 species
GACAAACGCUGGCGGCGUGCCUAAAACAUGCAAGUCGGACGGGCGCUCUUUGGGGCGUACCGUGGCGGACGGCUGAGUAACACGUGGGUGACCUACCGUUCAGUGGGGGAUAUUGGGUCGAAAGGCCUGGCAAUCCCGCAUGGGCUGCCUGGGGCGGCCUGGGCAGCAAAGCUCGCAGAGCGCUGGACGAGGGGCCCGCGGCCGAUUAGCUAGUUGGUGGGGUAAGGGCCUACCAAGGCGACGAUCGGUAGCUGGUCUGAGAGGAUGAGCAGCCAGA